rnacentral:rRNA from 1 species
AUGGCGGCUCCGAGGGGCGCGGCACUGGUGCUGGCGAUGGUGCUCGCGGCGAUGCUGGUGGCGCCGCCGGCGACGGUGCACGCCAUAUCCUGCUCCACGGUGUACAGCACGCUGAUGCCGUGCCUGCAGUACGUGCAGCAGGGCGGGUCGCCGGCCCGGGGCUGCUGCACCGGCAUCCAGAACCUGCUGGCCGAGGCCAACAACAGCCCCGACCGCCGCACCAUCUGCGGCUGCCUGAAGAACGUCGCCAACGGCGCCUCCGGCGGGCCCUACAUCACCCGCGCCGCCGCGCUCCCCUCCAAGUGCAACGUCGCCCUCCCCUACAAGAUCAGCCCCAGCGUCGACUGCAACUCGAUCCACUGA